GACGAACGCUGGCGGCGUGCUUAACACAUGCAAGUCGAACGGAAAGGCCCUGCUUUUGUGGGGUGCUCGAGUGGCGAACGGGUGAGUAACACGUGAGUAACCUGCCCUUGACUUUGGGAUAACUUCAGGAAACUGGGGCUCAUACCGGAUAGGAGCUCCUGCUGCGUGGUGGGGGUUGGAAAGUUUCGGCGGUUGGGGAUGGACUCGCGGCUUAUCAGCUUGUUGGUGGGGUAGUGGCUUACCAAGGCUUUGACGGGUAGCCGGCCUGAGAGGGUGACCGGCCACAUUGGGACUGAGAUACGGCCCAGACGCCUACGGGAGGCAGCAGUGGGGAAUAUGGCACAAUGGGCGGAAGCCUGAUGCAGCAACGCCGCGUGCGGGAUGACGGCCUUCGGGUUGUAAACCGCUUUCGCCUGUGACGAAGCGUGAGUGACGGUAAUGGGUAAAGAAGCACCGGCUAACUACGUG
rnacentral:rRNA from 1 species